AGUAGCUGGUUCCCUCCGAAGUUUCCCUCAGGGUAGCUGGAGCCCUUAGCGAGUUCUAUCGGGUAAAGCCAACAAUUAGAGGCAUUGGGGGUGCAAUGCCCUCGACCUAUUCUCAAACUUUAAAUAGGUAGGACGGCGCGGCUGCUUCGUUGAGCCGCGCCACGGAAUCGAGAGCUCCAAGUGGGCCAUUUUUGGUAAGCAGAACUAGCGAUGCGGGAUGAACCAGAAGCCAGGUUACGGUGCCCAACUACGUGCUAACCUAGAACCCACAAAGGGUGUUGGCGAUUAAGACAACAGGAGUGUGUCGAAUGAGAACUUUGAGGGCCGAAGAGGGGAAAGGUUCUAUGUGAAUAGCACUUGCACAUGGGUUACUCGAUCGUAAGAGACGGGGGAAGCCCGUUCGAUAGGGCGACCAGCGCGAGCUUUGAAAGGGAAUCAUGUUAAAAUUCCUGAACUGGGACGUGGCGGCUGACGGCAACAUUAGGGAGUCCGAAGACGUCGGCAAGGGCCUUGGGAAGAGUUAUCUUUUCUAUUUAAUGGCCUACCCACCCUGGAAACAUCUCAGCCGGAGGUAGGGUCCAGCGGCCGGAAGAGCACCGCACAUCGCGUGGUGUUCAGUGCGCCCUCGGCAGCACUUGAAAUUCUGGAGGACCGAGUGCCGUCCGUGCUCGGUCGUGCUCAUAACUGCAUCAGGUCUCCAAGGUGAACAGCCUCUGGUCAAUGGAACAAUGUAGGCAAGGGAAGUCAGCAAAAUGGAUCCGUAACCUCAGGAAAAAGGAUUGGCUCUGAAGGCUAGGCACGGGUAUCCCAGUCCCGAACCCAUCAGCUAUCGGUGUAGCUCGAGCUGCUCUCGCGGAGAGAACGGGUCACCGCGUGCCAGCCGAGGGACAGACUGGGAACGGGUCCCUCGGGAGCCUUCCCCGGGCGACGAACAGUCGACUCAGAACUGGUACGGACAAGGGGAAUCUGACUGAUUAAUUAAAACAAAUCAUUGCGAUGGUCCCUACGGAUGCUCACGCAAUGUGAUUUCUGCCCAGUGCUCUGAAUGUCAAAGUGAAGAAAUUCAACCAAGCGAGGGUAAACUGUGGAAGUAACUAUGACUCUCUUAAGGUAGCCAAAUGCCUCGUCAUCUAAUUAGUGACUGGCAUGAAUGGAUUAACGAGAUUCCCACUGUCCCUGUCUUCUAUCCAGCGAAACCACAGCCAAGAGAACGGGCUUGGCAGAAUCAGCGGGGAAAGAAGACCCUGUUGAGCUUGACUCUAGUCUGACUUUGUGAAAUGACUUCAGAGGUGUAGGAUAAGUGGGAGCUCUCAAGCGAAAUUGAAAUACCACUACUUUUAACGUUAUUUUACUUAUUCUGUGAAUCAGAGAUGAGGCACGGCCCCUCUUUUUGGACCCAAGGCCGGCUUCGGCCGGCCGAUCUGGGCUAAAGACAUUGUCAGGUGGGGAGUUUGGCUGGGGCGGCACAUCCGUUAAAAGAUAACACAGGUGUCCUAAGAUGAGCUCAACGAGAACAGAUAUCUCGUGUGGAACAAAAGGGUAAAAGCUCGUUUGAUUCUGAUUACCAGUACGAAUACGAACCGUGAAAGCUUGUCCUAUCGAUCCUUUAGACCUUCGGAAUUUGAAGCUGCAGGAGUCAGAAAAGUUACCACAGGGAUAACUAGCUUGUGGCAGCCAAGCGUUCAUAGCGACGUUACUUUUUGAUCCUUCGAUGUCAGCUCUUGCUAUCAUUGUGAAGCAGAAUUCACCAAUUGUUGGAUUGUUCACCCACCAAUAGGGAACGUGAGCUGGGUUUAGACCAUCAUGAGAUAGGUUAGUGUUACCCUACUGAUGGUCGCGCCGCAAUAGUAAUUCAACCUAGUACGAGAGGAAACGUUGAUUCGCACAAUUGGUCAUCGCGCUUGGUUGAAAAGCCAGUGGUGCGAAGCUACCGUGCGCUGGAUUAUGACUGAACGCAUCUAAGUCAGAAUCUAGGCUAGAAGCAACGCACGCGCCCGUCGCCCGAUUGCCGACCCGCAGUAGGGCCUCUGGCCCCCAAGGGCACGUGUCGUAGGUGCAGCAACCGCGGUGGACAAGUCGCGGGCACUUUCCUAGAGCGUAAUUCCCACCGAGCAGCGGGUAGAAUCCUUUGCAGACAACUUAAAUACGUGACGGGGUAUUGUUUGUGGCAGAGUGGCCUUGCUACCACGAUCCACUAAGAUUCAGCCUUUUGUCGCUUCGAUUCGUCCCUCCCCUAUCGCCGAUCCGAUCCCCCUCGUUCUUUUGCACGCCCGACCCUGAGGUUCCCAAGUGGGGGACUUGGUGUAAGGAGUUAGUUAAACACCUGGCCGUGUUGCCCCCUUCUAGAAACAUGGCACAACGGGGGCCUUUGCUAGUGACUCCAGGCACUUGUUCAAUUUUCUGCCCCGCCUUGCCAUCAUGCCAUAUUUCAUGGACCCAGCAUUCGGCUUCUUGUAUUUUUUAUGGGCCAAUAGCAAAAUUUUUAGUUAAAAACACCAAGUCACCAAAAAUAACUUUCCCCGCUUCAGACAUGUAGGGGAGCUCCGCACUGUCGGCACCUUGGUGGCUCGGAUGUGUGGGAUCCUCGAGCAGUAUCGGCACCUUGGUGGCUCAGAUGUGUGGGAGCCUCGAGCACCAUCGGUACCUUGGUGGGUCGGAUGUGCAGGAGCCCCGAGCACCAUCGGCAACUUUGGCCCUUGUUGGUGCGAAAGCGUUGGGCUAAAAAAAGUGUCCCUGUUUCAGACAUAUGGAACCCAAAAAAAAAAGUGUCCCUGUUUCAAACACAUGUGUGUCGCCUGGUAGCACAUUGACCAAGUUUUUUUAGCUCUUUAGUGGGGAAGUGACAUUGAGCGAGCAGGGGUUAUCCAGGGCACUGCCCAUGCCCAUCGUAUGCCCAGAUGUCGGUGCCCCCACCACCGGUUAGCUUCCAGGCGGUGCUCCGAAGAUCCAUCCCGGUGAGGCAUCCCAGAAUAUACGAAAACGGUUUCCUCCCCAAUACCAAAGGUAGAAUUCAAAUAUCGUUACAUGUUCGGUACCCAAUAAUGAAUGAAUCGUCUCGGUCCUUCCCCUUUUGCAACAAGAGCCUCCAGCACCUUGGUGGCUCGGAUGUGCGGGAGCCUCGAACACCAUCGGCACCUUGGUGCCUCAGAUGAGGGGGAGCCUCGAGCACUAUCGGUACCUUGGUGCUUGAAUGUGCGAGAGGCUCGAGCACAACCAGUACCUUUGUGCUUGUAUGUGCGAGAGCCUCGAGCACCAUCGGCACGUUCGUGGCUCGGAUGUGCGAGAGCCUUUGACACCAUCAGAAACCUUGGCGCUUGGAUGUGCAGGAGCCUCAAGCACCAAAGUAAAAGUUAGGCCCCUGUUGGUGGGGGAGAGUCGGGUAAAAAAAGUGUCCCCGUUUCAGACACAAUCGGCACCUGGGCGCUCGGAUGUGCAAGAGCUUCGGAUACCAUCGGUAACCUAGGCCCUUGGUUGUGCGAGAGCCUCGGGCACCAUCGGUACCUAGGCACUUGGAUGUGUGGGAGCCUCAGAAACCAUCGGCAAACUAGGCCAUUGGUCUUUGCAGGAGCCUCGUGCACCAUCGGCUACCUAGGCCCUUGGUCGUGCGGGAGCCUCGAGCACUAUCGACACCUUGGUGCUUGGAUGUGCGGGAACCUCGAACACCAUCGUCAACCUAGGCCCUUGGUCGUGCGAGAGCCUCGGGCACCAUCGGCACCUAGGUGCUUGGAUGUGGGGAGCCUUGGACAGUAUCGGCAAACCAGGCCCUUGGUGCUUGGAUGUGCGGGAGCCUCGGGCACCAUAGGUAAAAUAUGCCCUUGGUCGUGCGAGAGCCUCAGCCACCAUUGGGACCUAGGUGCUUGGAUGUGCGAGAGCCUCGGACACCAUCGACAAACUAGGCCCUUGGUCGUUCGGGAGCCUCGGGUAUCAUCGGCAACCUAGGCCCUUGGUCGUGCGAGAACCUCGGGCACCAUCAGCACCUGGGCGCUCGGAUGUGUGGGGGCGUCGGACACCAUUGGCAAACAAGGCCCUUGGUCGUGCGGGAGCCUCGGGCAACAAUAGCACCUUGGUGUUAUGAUGUGCAAGAGCCUCGGACAAUGUCGGCAUCCUAGGCCCUUGGUCGUGCGGGAGCCUCAAGCACCAUCGACACCUUGGUGCUUGGAUGUGCGGAACCUCAGACACCGUCGGCAACCUAGGCCCUGGGUCGUGCGAGAGCCUUGGGCACCAUCGGCACCUAGGGGCUCGGAUGUACGAGAGGCUUUGACACCAUCGGUAAACUAAGCCCUUGGUCUCCCGGGAGCCUCGGGCACCAUCAGCACCUCGGUGCUUUGAUGUGCGGGAGCCUCGGGCACCAUCGGUAGAAUAGGCCCUUCUCGUGUGAGAGCCUCGGGCACCAUUGGCACCUCGGUGCUCAGAUGUCCAGGAGCCUCGAGCAUCGUGGGCAGAAUAGGCCCUUUGUCGUGCGAGAGCGUCGGGCACCAUCGGCACCUUGGUGGCUCGGAUGUGCGGGAGCCUCGAGCAGCAUGGGCACCUUGGUGGCUCGGAUGUGCGGGAGCCUCGGACACCAUCGGCAACCUUGGUGCUUGGAUGUGCGGGAGCCUCGAGCACCACCAGCAACUUGGUGCCUGGGAUGUGUGGGCUAAAGAAAAGUGUCCCCGUUUCAGAUAGUCGAUUGUUUCCUGGUAGCACAUUGACGAAGUGUUUUUAGCUCUUUAAGGGGUAGAGAUCCGCUGCCCCCCGACGUGCCCCCUCUCAGCCGAGGUGGUGUGCAUCUAGCCCCCCAUGGGGGUCGGGUCGACCCGUAAUGACUCAUUAACGGUGUUGGGUUGGUCGCCGGCGGUAGUGGCCGGGGUAAUGAUUUUCUGGCCGGCCAAGCCCGUGCCCAUAGAAAUGUAGCCAACGACUCCAGGACCAAGUUCCCUAUAUCGGGCAAAGAUCUCAUGGGGUGGCUUAUGCAUUGCUAUGGGCUCGAGCUUGGCUUGCCCGUCCGCCCCCAUCAUGUU
rnacentral:lncRNA from 1 species